rnacentral:sRNA from 1 species
CCAUGCUGAAAGGGAAUAUUCCGUGCCCACUGUGUGGAGGCACCUCCUCAUCGCUUCCUGUCACCUGCAGGGUGCCGCCGAGCACCGCCUGGAGAAGAUCCCGGAGCCCAUCAAAGAGGCCACUGCCCUAUUCUACGGACCUACAGCACCAGCCAGCGGUGCCCUGCCAGAGGGCCAAGUGGAUUCACUGCUUUCCAUCAUCUCCAGCCAGAGGGAGCGCUUCCGUGCCCGGAACCAAGAGCUCGAGGCCGAGAACCGCCUGGCCCAGCACACCCUCCAGGCCCUGCAGAGUGAGCUGGACAGCCUGCGCGCCGACAACAUCAAGCUAUUUGAGAAGAUCAAGUUCCUGCAGAGCUACCCUGGCCGGGGCAGCGGCAGUGAUGACACGGAGCUGCGGUACUCGUCCCAGUACGAGGAGCGCCUGGACCCCUUCUCCUCCUUCAGCAAGCGGGAGCGGCAGAGGAAGUACCUGAGCCUGAGUCCCUGGGACAAGGCCACCCUCAGCAUGGGGCGUCUGGUUCUCUCCAACAAGAUGGCGCGCACCAUCGGCUUCUUCUACACACUGUUCCUGCACUGCCUGGUCUUCCUGGUGCUCUACAAGCUGGCAUGGAGCGAGAGCAUGGAGAGGGACUGUGCCACCUUCUGUGCCAAGAAGUUCGCCGACCACCUGCACAAGUUCCACGAGAAUGACAACGGGGCGGCGGCUGGUGACUUGUGGCAGUGAUACCCCGGGGCCUCCCCCGUGACAGUGUUGGCUGUACCUCCACCCCGACUGCUCAGUGCAUCUAAUCACUUAGACUCCCCUGAAGAAUCCCCCAUGGAAACUGCCCUUAUCUGCUGUCCAGCAGCUGCCAGAGGCCCCAGGUCCCCUUGGGUCCCCUUGAAAGAAUGUCUCGGUCACAUCAGGCCCGCUAGGACCAGAGAGCCAGCCCCCAAUGCCCGGCCAGGCUAAGCCGCAGAGACCCUCUCAGCCCCCACCUCAGGCUAGGGCUCUGCCCGCAGCCUGACCUCUAGCCCUGGUGGCAGAGGUCCCUCAGCUGCGAGGCUGAUUGGGUGACCACCCAUUCCAGCUGCGGUUAAUCCAGCUUGGGCCUGUCUGCACUGCGAUCCUCUUGGGCUCUCCUAGGAUCCCCCCAUGCCCCGUAAGAGGUGGAAGGCGCUUCCUUCCAGGACAGCAGGCUUUGAGUCCAGCACCCCCAGCCUGCCUUUGCCACCGGCCCCACCCUGCAGAGUAUAUGAGGCUUGACAGAGUCUGCCUCCUCCCCCACUGCACCCCAAGAGAGAGAGCCCCAGCCAGCAGAACAGUUUCUAUUACUCGCUCCCUGCCCCCAGACCCACGUGAUUUCUGCUGUCUUCUUUAGCAAGAUAUUCUGGUUUCUAGAUAAGGAAGAGUCUCUAAUGAGCCCCGGAGCCCCAGUCUCUUCAGACUCAUGGAUUGGUCUGAGGGGUCUGAACGUCUCCUAGCCAAUCAGAACUGGCUGUGGACCACCCUAGCACGGCCACCUCUCAGGGCCACUGGCAGGCCUUCCUGAGUUAGAUUUGUAGUUGCAUAUUUAGCUUUGCACA